rnacentral:rRNA from 1 species
AUUGAACGCUGGCGGCAUGCCUUACACAUGCAAGUCGAACGGCAGCACGGGUGCUUGCACCUGGUGGCGAGUGGCGAACGGGUGAGUAAUACAUCGGAACGUACCUUAUCGUGGGGGAUAACGCAGCGAAAGCUGUGCUAAUACCGCAUACGCCCUGAGGGGGAAAGCGGGGGAUCGCAAGACCUCGCGCGAUUAGAGCGGCCGAUGCCUGAUUAGCUUGUUGGUGGGGUAAAAGCCCACCAAGGCGACGAUCAGUAGCUGGUCUGAGAGGACGAUCAGCCACACGGGGACUGAGACACGGCCCAGACUCCUACGGGAGGCAGCAGUGGGGAAUUUUGGACAAUGGGGGCAACCCUGAUCCAGCAAUGCCGCGUGAGUGAAGAAGGCCUUCGGGUUGUAAAGCUCUUUUGUCAGGGAAGAAACACCGGCUCUAACACAGUCCGGGAAUGACGGUACCUGAAGAAUAAGCACCGGCUAACUACGUGCCAGCCGCCGCUUAA